rnacentral:rRNA from 1 species
AAGUAUACAAAGAGAUUGUUAUGGAAUCAUAGCUAUAUAUCAAAGAGAGCUAGCCUGCUUGGUUGAGGCUAACAGGUUGGCUGAAACGUGUAAUAUAUACGAUACAUGCAUUGAGUGCAUGUUCAACUCUAAUAAGAAAUUAUAUGUCUUAAAAAUAAACGAAGUGAAUUGAAAUAUCUUACUAACUUCAGGAAAAGAAAUCAAAGGAGAUUCUUUAAGUAAUGUGAAUGAAAUAAGAAAAGUCUUAAACAAGUAAAAUGGAGUGCAUAUCUGUUUGAACAAAAGGGGAACCUUCCUCUAAGACUAAAUAUGAUAUAUAUGUGAUAGCGAAAAGUACCGUGAGGGAAAUGAUUGAAAUAGCAGUCUUAUAAGCAGCUCAAAAAAAGUUUAAAUAAAUGAUAAGAGCGUACCUUUUGCAUAAUGGGUCAGCAAGUUAAUGUUUGAUGCGAGCAGUAUAGAAGUUUAGAAUUAAGAGUUGCUUUAUACAUAUUGCGUAGAUAAAACAAUUAUGAUUUAAUGAUAGAGUAUCAAGGAUUAGACCCGAAACUUAGUGAUCUUACCACAAUCAGGAAUAUAAAAGUCCGAACGGGUUAUCGUUGUAAAGAUAUCCGAAGAAUUGUGGUAAGUUAGUGAAAGACAAUACUGACUAAGAUAGCUGGUUUUCUGCGAAACCUAUAUAAGUAGGUAAUUUAAAUAGAAUAUCAGAAGGUACAGAAUUGUGAUCUCAUGCAACUAGUACUCACUUUUCCUAUUAAUUUAGGAAAACUAAUAAAGUGCUUUUUGCGGACAUUGGGGGGUCGUGAAGACUCUAUCAGUGAGUAUUUGUUCUCGGAAGGACUAGAUAUGAAUAUUGAAUAAUCGGACAUAGUACGAUAAGGUUGUAUGUCUAAAGGGAAACAGCCCAGAACAAGAGUUAAUAAGGUUCCAAAAUUAUUGUUAAGUGAAAUUAAGGGAGUAUUUAUCCCAAACGGCCAGGGAAUAGGCUUAGAAGCGGCCAUUUUCUGAAGACCUCGUAACAGAGCACUGGUUUUGUUUUAAUUAUUUUAGAUAAUAAGGAUAAAAGCACCGAAAAUUUAACGGAUCUAAACAAUAUACCGAGACCUUGUCCAAAUAUAUUAAUAUAUUUAAAAUUUACAUUGUAUAUUUGGGGUAGCGGAACAUUGGGGAAGUAAGUUAUGAAUUUUGCCUUUAUAAGGCAUUUCAAGGGAUACAUAUAAAAGGAAUAAACUAAAAAAAUGAGUUGCUAUAAGGUAUUUUUCUAAUAACCCAAGUGAUAAUGCUGACAUGAGUAACGAUAAAGGGGAAUACCCUCGCCUAAAGCUUAUGGAAUUUAAUUAAAGUUACGGCCUCUAAGUUUAUUAUAUAUUUAAUAGAUAAAUCAAUUAUUUAUUAAUAAUCCCAAAAGGGGUAAACGAUGAGCAAAUCUAGAAAGUUUACAGAAAACAACGUUUUUGCAUAGUGACAAACGUUCUGGAAAAGUGUAAACUUGGCAUAAGGGAGAGCUUUGUAUCUACCAGAAGAAGCAAUAAGUAAACAAAGUAAUACCAUGUCAGUUCAACCGUACCUAAAUACUACCACAAGUAAGCAAGUAGAGUAUACGAAGGCGUUCGAGUGAACAAUCAUUAAGGAACUCGGCAAAUUGACUCACGUAACUUCGGGAGAAGGUGGGCCGUCCCUUUUGAUUAAUAUCAGAUAAGGGAUAGGAGGCACAGAAUGGUGUUGUACGACUGUUUAAUUAAAACAAAGCACGCUGCAAAGAAAUAAAUUCGAAGUAUUGGGUGUGAUCUCUGCCCGAUGGCGGCUGGUUAUCGGAUUUGCUUAGUUGACUAAUAUAAGCUAGGCUUUGAAGGAACCCCCGUUCAAUGGCGGCCUUACAGAUGAGGGUCCUAAGGUAGCGGAAUACCCUGGCCGUUAAAUGCGGUCUUGCAUGAAUGAUGUAACGAUACAACAGCUGUCUCAAUGAUUGGCUCGGUGAAAUUGGGAUAACUGUGCAGAUACAGUUUACCUCUAGUUAGACGAGAAGACCCUAUGCAGCUUUACUGUUGCUAGUUACCGAAUAUGAUAUAAUGAGUUUUAGUGUAUAAGGUAGUUGGCGAGAUAAAAUUGAAACACCUUUACUUCAUUUAUCAUAUUAUAUAAACCUUAUCAGGGAAUGGGUCUAGUAAUGGCCAUUUCUUAAAGAUUUCAUGUUAACACAUGAGCACUGGUUGCAAUAAUUUAUAGGAACAAUUGCUAGGUGGCAGUUUAUGCGGGGCACAGAUCCCAUAAAAAGUACCUGGGAGUAUCCAAAUUCAUUUCUGUAAAAUUGCAAUAUGCAAUUAAAUAUGUAUAGGCUUUUUUCUAUUAAAUGAUAAUUACUUUACUUCUCAAGUUUAACGGCUUAAUCUUGCUUUACUGUUUGACUUACACGUCUUUCAGUCGCGUAAGCGGGGCAUAUGAUCACAAGAUGCAGAAAGGAAAGGUCUUGGAUUAUUGAAAAAGCUACGCUAGGGAUAACAGGCUAAUUGCGCCAGAGAGUUCAAAUUGAGUGCGGAGUUUGGCACCUCGAUGUCGGCUUAGCUCAUCCACAUGAAUGCAGGAGUCAUGAAGGGUUCGACUGUUCGUCGAUUAAGGAGCUACACGAGCUGGGUUAAAUACGUCGUGAGACAGUAUGGUUUCUAUCUUCUAGAGGAAAUUAGAAUAAAAUAAGGAUAGCCCCUUGUACGAAAGGAGUUGGGUAUAUUAACCUAUGGUUUACUUGUUGUUUAUCUUUCUAUAUUAAUACAGUAUAGGCACGGCAGGAAGGCUACGUUAGUUAAUGAUAAGUGCUGAAUGCAUAUAGGCACGAAACAUACCUUAGGAUAUUCUUAAAUAUAUGUAGUUUAAUACUACGAUUU